GGCGACGUGGCGGAGUGGUUACGCAGCGGACUGCAAAUCCGUGUACGCCGGUUCGAUUCCGGCCGUCGCCU
rfam:Stappia sp. 22II-S9-Z10 contig18, whole genome shotgun sequence.